UUUUUACAUCAUAUGAAUACAACAUAUAAAUACAAAAUCACUUUAUAAGCCUAUUGUUACGUCUAUGUUAUGUCUAUUUUACAAACCCCUUCCAAACCUGUCCAAAAACAAGAAAAACAAGGCCCGUAGAAGCCUAGAAAAAUCAAUGCACAACAACAAAAACAACUACUACAACCAACACCCAAAAACAAAAAACUCCAACUUAUACCCUUAAAAAAAUAGAUUUGAAAUUGGUUGGUACCUAGAGAAAACAGAUCUGGAUCCAAAACAUAAAAUCUAAAAAAGAACACAGAUCUAAACGCAAUAGGAUUGAAAAUGAGUUUUACUUCGUAAAAGUCUCCACCAACAUCGUCUUUGUUACCACGAACGUCGCCUUCGUCGCUGUUCUCCUCAUUUGUCGCCAUCUUCUACUACUUCCGGAAGAGCUAUUAUUCAUUCUUUUGAUGGUGGUGGUCGCAGAUUGCUUACCAGUGAUGGUCAUCUGGUUUAUUGGUGGUGGUUAGAGAAGGGAGGAUGGAGGUUUGGGUUAGGGAGAGAGAUGAGAAAAGAGAGAGAAGAGAUAAGUUAGAAAGAGAAAUUUUUGUGAAUAAAUGAAAAAAAUAUGAUAUAUAUUUGGUACAAGAAAAGAUAAUUUUGAAUUUUAAAACGUUUCAAAAUUAAUUAUUAAAUAAAACAAUUUCCUAACACUACCUUUUGGUGCACGAGAUGCGUCGGAUUGAAGUCAACAUCGAAACCAAUUCUGAGCCGUUGGAUGCGUCUAUAGGAUUGAUCUUAUUGAAUUUGGUUUAGGAGCCAUAGCCAUUUCCUAGAUUCAAGUAAAACCAUUUUUGGGUUUGAGGUUCUCAUAAGAUCUACCUUUAACCUUCUAAUUGAUUAAAAUCAUAUAGAUUUGAGUGGGUAGUAGAUCAUUUUAAUACAACAAUUUAAUCAUUCUUAUUUUUUCAAAUCUUCCAGCCACCACCAUUGGCAAGACUCGAAUAAGACCCCAUCUAGUCUCCAGCAACUUUUUUAAUGAGUUUUCAAUUAUUUUUUCAACAUGUCUUUGUAUCAUGUUAUAACUGUUUGUAAUAGGUUAUUCAAGUAACAUCUUAUGACCGCUUGUUUGUAACAGGUUAUGAUUAUUUGUAACCUUUUACAUGACUAAUAGGUUAUAAUCGUAUUAACAUGUUAGAAUCGCAUGUAACUAUAUCCAACGAUUGAAUAACUAGUUAUAUCCAACACGACAUUUUUAAAGUGUUUCUAAUAGAUUUCAGGUAUAGCACACGACAUCGAGGCAUUAACGGACGAGUCAGGACACAUCAAAGGAGCAAAGAUCACAAAAGGGGAAAAGCAUCUAGAUUUGGGUCUAAGGUAUCAACAACUUUCUAGGCACAGAAGUGGAUACCUCUUAGGCGCAAGAGUCUACAAGAUCAGAGAUUCAGCAAUUCAAAAUUGUCCAAACCUCCGCCUAAGAGUCAACUCUUGGUGAGCUGCAAGGUUUGACACCGUAGGCACUAGAAUGCACAUCCGUUAGCUGCGAGGUCUGCCUCCCUAUUUAACAACAUUCCCUUAUUCAGAACCAGCAAACUUUAGAUGAAAAUUGACAGGUUUUUCAAAGACUUUCACGCGAAAAGAAGGCAACUCCUUCAAGGAGUUCAGCGGAAUUAGGUUUUUCAAUUCUCUUUUGUAAAACUAACAGUGUUUUUUUUGUAGAUGUCGAUUUGUUUGUUGUGAUUAUGAGUAACUAAACUCC
rnacentral:lncRNA from 1 species